UAUGAUUCGUUGUUAUGGGAAAUUCCCAGA
rnacentral:piRNA from 1 species